GACGAACGCUGGCGGCGUGCUUAACACAUGCAAGUCGAACGGAAAGAGAGGAUUUUGCUCGUCUGGAUUAGGGGCGAACGGGUGUGUAACACGUGAGCAAUCUGCCCCUGACUCGGGUAUAACUAGGGGAAACUGUAGCUAAUACCGGAGAUGCUCCUGCCAGACAGCGGGAGCGGGAGGGAAUCAGUGCGGGGAGGUCUGAUCGCGGGGCCUCUGAGCUUGUUGGUGGGGUAACGGCUCCCCAAGGCGGCGACGGGUAGCCGGCCUGAGAGGGUAACCGGCAACAUUGGGACUGAGACACGGCCCAGCCUCCUACGGGGGGAAGCAGUGGGGAAUAUUGCACAAUGGGCGCAAGCCUGAUGAAGAAACGCCGGGUGAGGGAUGACGGCCUUCGGGUUGUAAACGUCUUUUAGCAGGGAAGAAGCGAGAGUGACGGUACCUGCUGAAGAAGCGCCGGCUAACUACGUG
rnacentral:rRNA from 1 species